AUCUAUCCAUGAGCAGGUUGAAGGUUAGGUAACACUGACUGGAGGACCGAACCCACUCCCGUUGAAAAGGUAGGGGAUGACUUGUGGAUCGGAGUGAAAGGCUAAUCAAGCUCGGAGAUAGCUGGUUCUCCUCGAAAGCUAUUUAGGUAGCGCCUCAUGUAUCACUCUGGGGGGUAGAGCACUGUUUCGGCUAGGGGGUCAUCCCGACUUACCAAACCGAUGCAAACUCCGAAUACCCAGAAGUGCCGAGCAUGGGAGACACACGGCGGGUGCUAACGUCCGUCGUGAAAAGGGAAACAACCCAGACCGCCAGCUAAGGUCCCAAAGUUGUGGUUAAGUGGUAAACGAUGUGGGAAGGCUUAGACAGCUAGGAGGUUGGCUUAGAAGCAGCCAUCCUUUAAAGAAAGCGUAAUAGCUCACUAGUCGAGUCGGCCUGCGCGGAAGAUGUAACGGGGCUCAAACCACACACCGAAGCUGCGGGUGUCACGUAAGUGACGCGGUAGAGGAGCGUUCUGUAAGCCUGUGAAGGUGAGUUGAGAAGCUUGCUGGAGGUAUCAGAAGUGCGAAUGCUGACAUGAGUAACGACAAUGGGUGUGAAAAACACCCACGCCGAAAGACCAAGGGUUCCUGCGCAACGUUAAUCGACGCAGGGUUAGUCGGUUCCUAAGGCGAGGCUGAAAAGCGUAGUCGAUGGGAAACAGGUUAAUAUUCCUGUACUUCUGGUUACUGCGAUGGAGGGACGGAGAAGGCUAGGCCAGCUUGGCGUUGGUUGUCCAAGUUUAAGGUGGUAGGCUGAAAUCUUAGGUAAAUCCGGGGUUUCAAGGCCGAGAGCUGAUGACGAGUCGUCUUUUAGAUGACGAAGUGGUUGAUGCCAUGCUUCCAAGAAAAGCUUCUAAGCUUCAGGUAACCAGGAACCGUACCCCAAACCGACACAGGUGGUCGGGUAGAGAAUACCAAGGCGCUUGAGAGAACUCGGGUGAAGGAACUAGGCAAAAUGGCACCGUAACUUCGGGAGAAGGUGCGCCGGCUAGGGUGAAGGAUUUACUCCGUAAGCUCUGGCUGGUCGAAGAUACCAGGCCGCUGCGACUGUUUAUUAAAAACACAGCACUCUGCAAACACGAAAGUGGACGUAUAGGGUGUGACGCCUGCCCGGUGCCGGAAGGUUAAUUGAUGGGGUUAGCGCAAGCGAAGCUCUUGAUCGAAGCCCCGGUAAACGGCGGCCGUAACUAUAACGGUCCUAAGGUAGCGAAAUUCCUUGUCGGGUAAGUUCCGACCUGCACGAAUGGCGUAACGAUGGCGGCGCUGUCUCCACCCGAGACUCAGUGAAAUUGAAAUCGCUGUGAAGAUGCAGUGUAUCCGCGGCUAGACGGAAAGACCCCGUGAACCUUUACUGUAGCUUUGCACUGGACUUUGAGCCUGCUUGUGUAGGAUAGGUGGGAGGCUUUGAAGCGUGGACGCCAGUUCGCGUGGAGCCAUCCUUGAAAUACCACCCUGGCAUGCUUGAGGUUCUAACUCUGGUCCGUAAUCCGGAUCGAGGACAGUGUAUGGUGGGCAGUUUGACUGGGGCGGUCUCCUCCUAAAGAGUAACGGAGGAGUACGAAGGUGCGCUCAGACCGGUCGGAAAUCGGUCGCAGAGUAUAAAGGCAAAAGCGCGCUUGACUGCGAGACAGACACGUCGAGCAGGUACGAAAGUAGGUCUUAGUGAUCCGGUGGUUCUGUAUGGAAGGGCCAUCGCUCAACGGAUAAAAGGUACUCCGGGGAUAACAGGCUGAUACCGCCCAAGAGUUCAUAUCGACGGCGGUGUUUGGCACCUCGAUGUCGGCUCAUCACAUCCUGGGGCUGAAGCCGGUCCCAAGGGUAUGGCUGUUCGCCAUUUAAAGUGGUACGCGAGCUGGGUUUAGAACGUCGUGAGACAGUUCGGUCCCUAUCUGCCGUGGACGUUUGAGAUUUGAGAGGGGCUGCUCCUAGUACGAGAGGACCGGAGUGGACGAACCUCUGGUGUUCCGGUUGUCACGCCAGUGGCAUUGCCGGGUAGCUAUGUUCGGAAAAGAUAACCGCUGAAAGCAUCUAAGCGGGAAACUUGCCUCAAGAUGAGAUCUCACUGGGAACUUGAUUCCCCUGAAGGGCCGUCGAAGACUACGACGUUGAUAGGCUGGGUGUGUAAGCGUUGUGAGGCGUUGAGCUAACCAGUACUAAUUGCCCGUGAGGCUUGACCA
rnacentral:rRNA from 1 species